UGGCUCAGAACGAACGCUGGCGGCAGGCCUAACACAUGCAAGUCGAGCGCACCCUUCGGGGUGAGCGGCGGACGGGUGAGUAACGCGUGGGAAUAUGCCCUUUGGUACGGAAUAGUCCUGGGAAACUGGGGGUAAUACCGUAUGCGCCCUUCGGGGGAAAGAUUUAUCGCCAAAGGAUUAGCCCGCGUUGGAUUAGGUAGUUGGUGGGGUAAUGGCCUACCAAGCCGACGAUCCAUAGCUGGUUUGAGAGGAUGAUCAGCCACACUGGGACUGAGACACGGCCCAGACUCCUACGGGAGGCAGCAGUGGGGAAUCUUAGACAAUGGGGGCAACCCUGAUCUAGCCAUGCCGCGUGAGUGAUGAAGGCCCUAGGGUUGUAAAGCUCUUUCAGCUGGGAAGAUAAUGACGGUACCAGCAGAAGAAGCCCCGGCUAACUCCGUGCCAGCAGCCGCGGUAAUACGGAGGGGGCUAGCGUUGUUCGGAAUUACUGGGCGUAAAGCGCACGUAGGCGGACCGGAAAGUUGGGGGUGAAAUCCCGGGGCUCAACCCCGGAACUGCCUUCAAAACUAUCGGUCUGGAGUUCGAGAGAGGUGAGUGGAAUUCCGAGUGUAGAGGUGAAAUUCGUAGAUAUUCGGAGGAACACCAGUGGCGAAGGCGGCUCACUGGCUCG
rnacentral:rRNA from 1 species